CCUGGUACUAUGAUGAUCACAAAGCAAUGCAUAGUUCAUCUGAAUCUACUGAUGAAAUCUUAUCCUUCACAAGUCUUUCGCUCCCAUCUGAUCGUACCUGA
rnacentral:snoRNA from 1 species